UAACGAGGCAGGAAAAGGUAAGGAGAGAGAAGUAGCAAGGGAGGGAGAAUAAAGACGGAAUGUAGGUUCACGUUAGAAGGGGCAGCGUGGGCGAUCUGGGACCGCUGUUUGCAGGGCUGGAUCAGGCUGGAACGCACAGGCUACUGGUUGGAACGCACGUGGGCGAUCACUAGGGUAACACAGGAAGUGUGUUGCCGGAUACGUGUCAGCAGAUGUGACUUCCGUCCAGCCGGUCCCGGUAAACGGCGAUACCUGACAGCGUGACCAAGCAGUGUGGUGGGAAUUUAAGAGGGAUUUUUUUUUAUAUAGGUCUGAGUAAGUAAAGCAAAGAAUAGGCCUGUAAGGAAGGACUGAUGAUGAUUGGAGGCAUAGAAGCACAACAAUCAGACAUGGAAACAAGUUCAUUACCGCUAUUGGCUGCAGACUGAUACUGUACUUUCUUAUGUUGUCAUUAAAGUACUCUGGUGGUCUCAA